rnacentral:rRNA from 1 species
UAAGGAAUAUUGGUCAAUGGGGGCAACCCUGAACUAGCCAUGCCGCGUGCAGGAAGACAGCCCUAUGGGUCGUAAACUGCUUUUGUACGGGAACAAACCUCUCCUCGUGAGGAGAGCUGAGCGUACCGUAAGAAUAAGGAUCGGCUAACUCCGUGCCAGCAGCCGCGGUAAUACGGAGGAUCCGAGCGUUAUCCGGAUUUAUUGGGUUUAAAGGGAGCGUAGGCGGCCCGUUAAGUCAGGGGUGAAAGACGGUGGCUCAACCAUCGCAGUGCCUUUGAUACUGACGGGCUUGAAUACACUUGAGGUAGGCGGAAUGUGACAAGUAGCGGUGAAAUGCAUAGAUAUGUCACAGAACACCGAUUGCGAAGGCAGCUUACUAAAGUGUGAUUGACGCUGAGGCUCGAAAGCGUGGGGAUCAAACAGGAUUAGAUACCCUGGUAGUCCACGCCCUAAACGAUGAUAACUCGAUGUUGGCGAUAUACAGUCAGCGUCCAAGCGAAAGCGUUAAGUUAUCCACCUGGGGAGUACGCCCGCAAGGGUG